rnacentral:rRNA from 1 species
UAAGUUAAUAAGGGCGCACGGUGGAUGCCUUGGCACUAGGAGCCGACGAAGGACGUGACAAACGACGAUAUGCCUUGGGUAGCUGUAAGUAAGCGAUGAUCCAGGGAUUUCCGAAUGGGGGAACCCAACAGGUAAUACCUGUUACCUACAUCUGUUAAGGAUGUGAGGAGGAAGACGCAGUGAACUGAAACAUCUAAGUAGCUGCAGGAAGAGAAAGCAAAAGCGAUUGCCUUAGUAGCGGCGAGCGAAACGGCAGAAGGGCAAACCGAAGAGUUUACUCUUCGGGGUUGUAGGACUGCAAUGUGGACUCAAAGAUUAUAGAAGAAUGAUUUGGGAAGAUCAGCCAAAGAGAGUAAUAGCCUCGUAUUUAAAAUAGUCUUUGUACUUAGCAGUAUCCUGAGUACGGCGGGACACGUGAAAUCCCGUCGGAAUCUGGGAGGACCAUCUCCCAACCCUAAAUACUCCCUAGUGACCGAUAGUGAACCAGUACCGUGAGGGAAAGGUGAAAAGCACCCCGGGAGGGGAGUGAAAUAGAACCUGAAACCGUGUGCCUACAACAAGUUCGAGCCCGUUAAUGGGUGAGAGCGUGCCUUUUGUAGAAUGAACCGGCGAGUUACGUUAUGAUGCGAGGUUAAGUUGAAGAGACGGAGCCGUAGGGAAACCGAGUCUGAAUAGGGCGCCUUAGUAUCAUGACGUAGACCCGAAACCAUGUGACCUACCCAUGAGCAGGUUGAAGGUGCGGUAAGACGCACUGGAGGACCGAACCAGGGCACGUUGAAAAGUGCUUGGAUGACUUGUGGGUAGCGGAGAAAUUCCAAACGAACUUGGAGAUAGCUGGUUCUCUCCGAAAUAGCUUUAGGGCUAGCGUCGACAUUAGAGAUUCUUGGAGGUAGAGCACUGUUUGGGUGAGGGGUCCAUCCCGGAUUACCAAUCUCAGAUAAACUCCGAAUGCCAAUGAAAUUAUGGUCGGCAGUCAGACUGCGAGUGCUAAAGAUCCGUAGUCGAAAGGGAAACAGCCCAGACACCAGCUAAGGUCCCAAAAUAAUUGUUAAGUGGAAAAGGAUGUGGGGUUGCACAGACAACUAGGAUGUUAGCUUAGAAGCAGCUAUUCAUUCAAAGAGUGCGUAAUAGCUCACUAGUCGAGUGACCCUGCGCCGAAAAUGUACCGGGGCUAAAACAAUUUACCGAAGCUGUGGAUACCUUUAUAGGUAUGGUAGGAGAGCGUUCUAUGUGUGAUGAAGGUAUACCGUGAGGAGUGCUGGAACGCAUAGAAGUGAGAAUGCCGGUAUGAGUAGCGAAAGACAGGUGAGAAUCCUGUCCACCGUAAGACUAAGGUUUCCAGGGGAAGGCUCGUCCGCCCUGGGUUAGUCGGGACCUAAGGAGAGACCGAAAGGUGUAUCCGAUGGACAACAGGUUGAUAUUCCUGUACUAGAGUAUGUAGUGAUGGAGGGACGCAGUAGGCUAACUAAAGCAGACGAUUGGAAGAGUCUGUCUAAGCAGUGAGGUGUGAAUUGAGUCAAAUGCUUAAUUCUAUAACAUUGAGCUGUGAUGGGGAGCGAAGUUUAGUAGCGAAGUUAGUGACGUCACACUGCCAAGAAAAGCUUCUAGCGUUUAAACAUACUCUACCCGUACCGCAAACCGACACAGGUAGUCGAGGCGAGUAGCCUCAGGUGAGCGAGAGAACUCUCGUUAAGGAACUCGGCAAAAUGACCCCGUAACUUCGGGAGAAGGGGUGCUGACUUAAAGUCAGCCGCAGUGAAUAGGCCCAAGCAACUGUUUAUCAAAAACACAGCUCUCUGCUAAAUCGUAAGAUGAUGUAUAGGGGGUGACGCCUGCCCGGUGCUGGAAGGUUAAGAGGAGUGCUUAGCGUAAGCGAAGGUAUGAAUUGAAGCCCCAGUAAACGGCGGCCGUAACUAUAACGGUCCUAAGGUAGCGAAAUUCCUUGUCGGGUAAGUUCCGACCCGCACGAAAGGCGUAAUGAUUUGGGCACUGUCUCAACGAGAGACUCGGUGAAAUUUUAGUACCUGUGAAGAUGCAGGUUACCCGCGACAGGACGGAAAGACCCCAUGGAGCUUUACUGCAGUUUGAUAUUGAGUGUCUGUACCACAUGUACAGGAUAGGUAGGAGUCUAAGAGAUCGGGACGCCAGUUUCGAAGGAGACGCUGUUGGGAUACUACCCUUGUGUUAUGGCCACUCUAACCCAGAUAGGUGAUCCCUAUCGGAGACAGUGUCUGACGGGCAGUUUGACUGGGGCGGUCGCCUCCUAAAAGGUAACGGAGGCGCCCAAAGGUUCCCUCAGAAUGGUUGGAAAUCAUUCGCAGAGUGUAAAGGUAUAAGGGAGCUUGACUGCGAGAGCUACAACUCGAGCAGGGACGAAAGUCGGGCUUAGUGAUCCGGUGGUUCCGUAUGGAAGGGCCAUCGCUCAACGGAUAAAAGCUACCCUGGGGAUAACAGGCUUAUCUCCCCCAAGAGUUCACAUCGACGGGGAGGUUUGGCACCUCGAUGUCGGCUCGUCGCAUCCUGGGGCUGUAGUCGGUCCCAAGGGUUGGGCUGUUCGCCCAUUAAAGCGGCACGCGAGCUGGGUUCAGAACGUCGUGAGACAGUUCGGUCCCUAUCCGUCGCGGGCGUAGGAAAUUUGAGAGGAUCUGCUCCUAGUACGAGAGGACCAGAGUGGACUUACCGCUGGUGUACCAGUUGUCUUGCCAAAGGCAUCGCUGGGUAGCUAUGUAGGGAAGGGAUAAACGCUGAAAGCAUCUAAGUGUGAAACCCACCUCAAGAUGAGAUUUCCCAUGAUUAUAUAUCAGUAAGAGCCCUGAGAGAUGAUCAGGUAGAUAGGUUAGAAGUGGAAGUGUGGCGACACAUGUAGCGGACUAAUACUAAUAGCUCGAGGACUUAUCCA